GACGAACGCUGGCGGCGUGCUUAACACAUGCAAGUCGAACGGAAAGGCCCCUUUGGGGGUCCUCGAGUGGCGAACGGGUGAGUAACACGUGAGUAACCUGCCCUUGCCUUCGGGUUAACUUCAGGAAACUGGGGCUAAUACCGGAUAGGAAUCCUUGCUGCAUGGUGGGGGUUGGAAAGCUUCGGCGGUUUUGGGUGGACUGGCGGCUUAUCAGCUUGUUGGUGGGGUUGGGGCUUACCAAGGCUUUGACGGGUAGCCGGCCUGAGAGGGCGACCGGCCACAUUGGGGCUGAGAUACGGCCCAGACUCCUACGGGGGGCAGCAGGGGGGAAUAUUGCACAAUGGGCGGAAGCCUGAUGCAGGAACGCCGCGUGCGGGAAGACGGGCUUCGGGUUGGAAACCGCUUUCAGCAGGGGCGAAGCUUGUGGUGACGGUACCUGCAGAAGAAGCACCGGCUAACUACGUG
rnacentral:rRNA from 1 species